UACAGAGGGUGCAAGCGUUGUUCGGAAUUACUGGGCGUAAAGCGCGUGUAGGUGGCGGUGUAAGUCGGGUGUGAAAUCCCUUGGCUCAACCAAGGAAGUGCACUCGAUACUGUAUCGCUUGAGUACUGGAGGGGAUGGCGGAAUUCCCGGUGUAGAGGUGAAAUGCGUAGAUAUCGGGAGGAACACCAGUGGCGAAGGCGACUACCUGGCCUGUUCUUGACGCUGAGGCGCGAAAGCUAGGGGAGCAAACGGG
rnacentral:rRNA from 1 species